rnacentral:rRNA from 1 species
GAUAGCCGCGGGAAACUGCGGGUAAUACUCGAUGCUGUCCUAGGGUCAUAUGACCUCUGGAUGAAAGGCGGGGAUCUUCGGACCUGUCGGCAGGAGAGCGGNCCAUAUGCUAUCAGCUAGUUGGUGAGGUAACGGCUCACCAAGGCGACGACGGCUAGCGGAGCUGAGAGGUUGGCCCGCCGCACUGGGACUGAGACACUGCCCAGACUCCUACGGGAGGCUGCAGUAACGAAUCUUCCGCAAUGGGCGAAAGCCUGACGGAGCAAUGCCGCGUGUGGGAAUAAGCUCUUCGGAGUGUAAACCACUGUCAGGGGUUACCAAGCAAUGGGAGCUAAUAUCUCCCGGCGUUGAGGAGCCCCAGAGGAAGCCACGGCUAACUUCGUGCCAGCAGCCGCGGUAAUACGAAGGUGGCGAGCGUUAUUCGGAAUCACUGGGCUUAAAGAGCACGUAGGCGGAAUACCAAGCGUCUUGUGAAAUCCCUCGGCUCAACCGAGGAAUUGCAGGGCGAACUGGUAUUCUUGAGGCAGGUAAGGGUGAGUGGAACUCUUGGUUGGAGCGGUGGAAUGCGUAGAUAUCAAGAGGAACGCCGGAGGUGAAGACGACUCACUGGGCCUGUCCUGACGCUGAGGUGCGAAAGCCAGGGGAGCGAACGGGAUUAGAUACCCCGGUAGUCCUGGCCAUAAACGAUGUCCACUAGGUCGAUGACAUUCUGACAUGGUGUCGGCCGAAAGAAAACCGUUAAGUGGACCGCCUGGGGAGUACGGUCGCAAGGCUAAUACUCAAAGGAAUUGACGGGGGCUCACACAAGCGGUGGAGCAUGUUGCUUAAUUCGAUGCAACGCGAAGAACCUUAUCCUGGGCUUGACAUGCUUGGAUGCCCACCUGGAAACAGGGAUCGGCUGCCAUUCGGGGUGAAACUUGCACAGGUGCUGCAUGGCUGUCGUCAGCUCGUGUCGUGAGAUGUUGGGUUAAGUCCCGUAACGAGCGAAACCCUUGUCGUUAGUUGCCAGCGGGUCAUGCCGGGGACUCUAACGAGACUGCCGGUGUCAAACCGGAGGAAGGUGGGGAUGACGUCAAGUCCUCAUGGCCUUUAUGCC